rnacentral:rRNA from 1 species
AGCGGCGGACGGGUGAGUAAUGCCUAGGAAUCUGCCUGGUAGUGGGGGAUAACGUUCGGAAACGGACGCUAAUACCGCAUACGUCCUACGGGAGAAAGCAGGGGACCUUCGGGCCUUGCGCUAUCAGAUGAGCCUAGGUCGGAUUAGCUAGUUGGUGGGGUAAUGGCUCACCAAGGCGACGAUCCGUAACUGGUCCGAGAGGAUGAUCAGUCACACUGGAACUGAGACACGGUCCAGACUCCUACGGGAGGCAGCAGCU